rnacentral:snRNA from 1 species
GAAUGUGAGGAUGAUCUGGCUGUGAUGUCUGUCACCCCAUUAACGUCUAGGGUUGAUUGGACUUAUCUAACUGACCAGAUGGGUUUCUUCUUUCCUUACCACUCCAUUUGUGUGCUUGGUAAAAAAGGCUGACAUUUACCUAAUAGAAACAGACUGGCCUUUGGCUGGGAAAUUGUGCAGAUGCAGUCACAUCUGCCAUGUUGACCCCUCAGUCUAUUGCUAGUU